rnacentral:tRNA from 1 species
GGCCCUGUAGUGAAGUUCAUGUUGAGUUGCAAGCUCAUUGAUGCACAUAAGAGUGUGCCGGGGCCU